AUUGAACGCUGGCGGCAGGCCUAACACAUGCAAGUCGAGCGGAGCGGCGGACGGGUGCGUAAUGCCUAGGAAUCUGCCUGGUCGUGGGGGAUAACGUCAGGAAACGGGCGCUAAUACUGCACACUCUCAGCUUAGCCUAGGUCGGAUUAGCUAGUGGGUGGGGUAGAGGCCUAGCAAGGCGACGAUCAGUAACUGGUCUGAGAGGAUGAUCAGCCACACUGGAACUGAGACACGGUCCAGACUCCUACGGGAGGCAGCAGUGGGGAAGAUUGGACAAUGGGCGAAAGCCUGAUGCAGCCAUGCCGCGUGUGUGAAGAAGGUCUUCGGGUUGUAAAGCACUUUAAGCGAGGAGGCGUUACCAACAGAAGAAGCACCGGCUAACUCCGUGCCAGCAGCCGCGGUAAUAC
rnacentral:rRNA from 1 species